rnacentral:rRNA from 1 species
UGCAAGUCGUACGCUUCUUUUUCCACCGGAGCUUGCUCCACCGGAAAAAGAAGAGUGGCGAACGGGUGAGUAACACGUGGGUAACCUGCCCAUCAGAAGGGGAUAACACUUGGAAACAGGUGCUAAUACCGUAUAACAAUCGAAACCGCAUGGUUUUGAUUUGAAAGGCGCUUUCGGGUGUCGCUGAUGGAUGGACCCGCGGUGCAUUAGCUAGUUGGUGAGGUAACGGCUCACCAAGGCCACGAUGCAUAGCCGACCUGAGAGGGUGAUCGGCCACAUUGGGACUGAGACACGGCCCAAACUCCUACGGGAGGCAGCAGUAGGGAAUCUUCGGCAAUGGACGAAAGUCUGACCGAGCAACGCCGCGUGAGUGAAGAAGGUUUUCGGAUCGUAAAACUCUGUUGUUAGAGAAGAACAAGGAUGAGAGUAACUGUUCAUCCCUUGACGGUAUCUAACCAGAAAGCCACGGCUAACUACGUGCCAGCAGCCGCGGUAAUACGUAGGUGGCAAGCGUUGUCCGGAUUUAUUGGGCGUAAAGCGAGCGCAGGCGGUUUCUUAAGUCUGAUGUGAAAGCCCCCGGCUCAACCGGGGAGGGUCAUUGGAAACUGGGAGACUUGAGUGCAGAAGAGGAGAGUGGAAUUCCAUGUGUAGCGGUGAAAUGCGUAGAUAUAUGGAGGAACACCAGUGGCGAAGGCGGCUCUCUGGUCUGUAACUGACGCUGAGGCUCGAAAGCGUGGGGAGCAAACAGGAUUAGAUACCCUGGUAGUCCACGCCGUAAACGAUGAGUGCUAAGUGUUGGAGGGUUUCCGCCCUUCAGUGCUGCAGCUAACGCAUUAAGCACUCCGCCUGGGGAGUACGACCGCAAGGUUGAAACUCAAAGGAAUUGACGGGGGCCCGCACAAGCGGUGGAGCAUGUGGUUUAAUUCGAAGCAACGCGAAGAACCUUACCAGGUCUUGACAUCCUUUGACCACUCUAGAGAUAGAGCUUCCCCUUCGGGGGCAAAGUGACAGGUGGUGCAUGGUUGUCGUCAGCUCGUGUCGUGAGAUGUUGGGUUAAGUCCCGCAACGAGCGCAACCCUUAUUGUUAGUUGCCAUCAUUUAGUUGGGCACUCUAGCAAGACUGCCGGUGACAAACCGGAGGAAGGUGGGGAUGACGUCAAAUCAUCAUGCCCCUUAUGACCUGGGCUACACACGUGCUACAAUGGGAAGUACAACGAGUCGCGAAGUCGCGAGGCUAAGCUAAUCUCUUAAAGCUUCUCUCAGUUCGGAUUGUAGGCUGCAACUCGCCUACAUGAAGCCGGAAUCGCUAGUAAUCGCGGAUCAGCACGCCGCGGUGAAUACGUUCCCGGGCCUUGUACACACCGCCCGUCACACCACGAGAGUUUGUAACACCCGAAGUCGGUGAGGUAACCUUUUGG